GUGGGGAAUUUUGGACAAUGGGCGAAAGCCUGAUCCAGCCAUGCCGCGUGCAGGAUGAAGGCCUUCGGGUUGUAAACUGCUUUUGUACGGAACGAAAAGACUCUGGUUAAUACCUGGGGUCCAUGACGGUACCGUAAGAAUAAGCACCGGCUAACUACGUGCCAGCAGCCGCGGUAAUACGUAGGGUGCAAGCGUUAAUCGGAAUUACUGGGCGUAAAGCGUGCGCAGGCGGUUAUAUAAGACAGAUGUGAAAUCCCCGGGCUCAACCUGGGAACUGCAUUUGUGACUGUAUAGCUAGAGUACGUCAGAGGGGGAUGGAAUUCCGCGUGUAGCAGUGAAAUGCGUAGAUAUGCGGAGGAACACCGAUGGCGAAGGCAAUCCCCUGGGCCUGUACUGACGCUCAUGCACGAAAGCGUGGGGAGCAAACAGGAUUAGAUACCCGUGUAGUCC
rnacentral:rRNA from 1 species